UACGAAGGGGGCUAGCGUUGCUCGGAAUCACUGGGCGUAAAGGGUGCGUAGGCGGGUCUUUAAGUCAGGGGUGAAAUCCUGGAGCUCAACUCCAGAACUGCCUUUGAUACUGAAGAUCUUGAGUUCGGGAGAGGUGAGUGGAACUGCGAGUGUAGAGGUGAAAUUCGUAGAUAUUCGCAAGAACACCAGUGGCGAAGGCGGCUAUCUGGACGGUUACUGACGCUAAGACUCGAAAGCGUGGGGAGCAAACAGG
rnacentral:rRNA from 1 species